UGGCACGUUGGCAAUGGAUUCUGCCAGGCAUCGAGCCGAACCGCUUCCCCACGAAGCUGAUGACUCCUGCUCAUGA
rfam:Ensifer sp. YIC4027 C593, whole genome shotgun sequence.